GAGGAGGGAACUGUGCUCCCGGCACCCCUCCCACCUCACUUCUGCUGGAUCCGGGAGGAGGUGCUGAGAGGGACCAUUUCAGGGAUGCCCAUCCCUAGAGUGCACUUCCACCCUUUGGGCAGAACUGGGGGUAGCCCAGCAUUGCUACUGUGUGACCUGUAGGUGCAGAGGGAGUGGGGCCCCGGCUGUACCAGCACCUGGCUCCCACGGAAGCAGUCUGUGUGCAAGUUCAGAUGGGCGUGGCACAGCUGUGUAUCAAGAGAUUGGCUCCAUCCAAGACCAAAGGCAAUAACCCGAACCAAAAGGUCUCCUGCUCUAUUCCCAAGAGAUGCCAACCAAACAUCAACAAGGGCUUUGAUGCUUGCCAGUGACAAAGGGAGUCAGAGCUGGUCUGCAGAGAAUGACCAUCAAAUAAAAAGAAGAAUAUGUGGUUGACGUGUUAGGUUAGGGUCCCGUCUUAAGAAUAAAAUAGGUUAUACCCUACUGUUUAUGAUGGAAUAGACCAGAGAAGAGCACCUUCGUGGCUCAGUAGGUUAAGUGUCUGACUGCAGCUUGGAUCAUUACCCAGGACCCUGGGAUCAGGCCUGUAUCAGGCUCCCUGUUCGGUGCAGGGUCUGAAUAUCCCUCUCCCUCUGCCCUUCCCAUUCUCCUCUCUCAAAUAAGUAAACAAAUGAAAAACAAAACAAUUGCAUUCCUAUACAUCAUCUUCUUUAUUUCAUCCCGCCCACUCUCAGUCUACAAAGUAGCAGGUAUACUCCAACUGCACCAGGGACUCCCUCCUGUUGAUUCCCGCCUCAUUGUGCUUCCGGACCUGAGGUUUCUUCCUCUUCAGGAAUUUCAUCCUCAAUAUUUUCCACCGCCCAAUCUGAAUUCUACCCCUUUGCUUGUGAAAACAUGUCCAUGGGUCUCCACCUGGAAGACCCGUUUUCUGGUUUUGGUUUUUGUUUAUUUCACUACACCUGUGAUUUUCAUUCCAGUGAGGACCCAGAAUCAGAUUGGCGCUCCUGACUAAAGACAGGAAGAGACUGCUUCAGGGUACGUACCGCUGUCACUAGUUCUGAGGCCACCUGCAGGUACAGAAGAGAGAACACCAUGAGGCUCAGCUCCCUCUUACUCUGCACUGAUUUUACUGCUCUCAAAAACUUAAGGAAGCCAGAUGGGAGGGACAUCAUGUUUGACACACUGGUGCCCAAAUAAAUGACAGGACACCUGGAGGAAGCUGCUUUUC
rnacentral:lncRNA from 1 species